rnacentral:rRNA from 1 species
ACGAACGCUGGCGGCGUGCCUAAUACAUGCAAGUAGAACGCACAGUUUAUACCGUAGCUUGCUACACCAUAGCCUGUGAGUUGCGAACGGGUGAGUAACGCGUAGGUAACCUGCCUGGUAGCGGGGGAUAACUAUUGGAAACGAUAGCUAAUACCGCAUAAUAUUAAUUAUUGCAUGAUAAUUAAUUGAAAGGUGCAAUUGCACCACUACCAGAUGGACCUGCGUUGUAUUAGCUAGUAGGUGAGGUAACGGCUCACCUAGGCGACGAUACAUAGCCGACCUGAGAGGGUGAUCGGCCACACUGGGACUGAGACACGGCCCAGACUCCUACGGGAGGCAGCAGUAGGGAAUCUUCGGCAAUGGACGAAAGUCUGACCGAGCAACGCCGCGUGAGUGAAGAAGGUUUUCGGAUCGUAAAGCUCUGUUGUAAGAGAAGAACGGGUGUGAGAGUGGAAAGUUCACACUGUGACGGUAUCUUACCAGAAAGGGACGGCUAACUACGUG